rnacentral:miRNA from 1 species
GGCUGAGUCAGAGGCACAGAAUUAGGCCGGUUGAAGUUGGGGGUAGAGUCUGUUCUGUGUCCUUCUGACAGCCUGG